rnacentral:rRNA from 1 species
CAGUAGCCACGGGAAUACGAAGGGUGCAAGCGUUAAUCGGAAUUACUGGGCGUAAAGCGUGCGUAGGCGGUUUGUUAAGUCUGCUGUGAAAUCCCCGGGCUCAACCUGGGAAUGGCAGUGGAUACUGGCAAGCUAGAGUGUGUCAGAGGAUGGUGGAAUUCCCGGUGUAGCGGUGAAAUGCGUAGAGAUCGGGAGGAACAUCAGUGGCGAAGGCGGCCAUCUGGGACAACACUGACGCUGAGGCACGAAAGCGUGGGGAGCAAACAGGAUUAGAUACCCCCGUAGUCCCUGUCUCUUAUAA